UGGGGAAUCUUGCGCAAUGCGCGAAAGCGUGACGCAGCAACACCGCGUGGGGGAAGAAGGCCUUCGGGUUGUAAACCCCUUUCAGGAGGGACGAAGGCCGACCGGUUAACAGCUGCGUCGGUUGACGGUACCUUCACAAGAAGCCCCGGCUAACUACGUGCCAGCAGCCGCGGUAAUACGUAGGGGGCAAGCGUUGUCCGGAAUCAUUGGGCGUAAAGCGCGCGUAGGCGGCCCGAUAAGUCUGCUGUAAAAGUCAACGGCUCAACCGUUGAAUGCCGGUGGAUACUGUCGGGCUAGAGUCCGGAAGGGGCAAGUGGAAUUCCUGGUGUAGCGGUGGAAUGCGCAGAUAUCAGGAGGAACACCUAUAGCGAAGGCAGCUUGCUGGGACGGUACUGACGCUAAGGCGCGAAAGCGUGGGGAGCAAACAGGAUUAGAUACCCUGGUAGUCCACGCCGUAAACGAUGAGAACUAGGUGUGGGAGGUGUCGACUCCUCCCGUGCCGUCGCUAACGCAUUAAGUUCUCCGCCUGGGGAGUACGGCCGCAAGGCUA
rnacentral:rRNA from 1 species